rnacentral:lncRNA from 1 species
GAAAACAGAGAAGCUAACAAAAGUCAGGUCUCGUUAAAACCUUCAUGAAACGAAGGAAAAAUAGUGCUUGGAAAGGGGAACAAAAACAAGAAACAAGUCGAUAGCGAAAUCCGAGCUUCGGCAUGGUCAUCACCAAAAAAAAAAACGCUAACGAACGAGCCAAAGAAACGUCAUGAACAAGACCAAUUCGAGAUAGGAGCUUCGGACUAAGUAUCACCCCCAUUCCAAAUUAUUCUCGAUGACAACAACAUAAACAAGAACCUCGAAGAGACAAAAGACCAAGAGAUCCCACCGACAAGACGCCGGAAACGACCACCGGAGCAAAAGGCAAAAACCGUCGGAAACAGAAGAGCCCCGACACACCAGCCCGAGCUCGACAUGGCCCAAGUCCCAGCGCACCGGGAGCUUGAAAAAAGCCAUGCCAAGACCCGGCAAAAGAUUCAAUCGAGUGUUCUGGUUCGUGGUAAGGCAUUAAUUAAUGUCCGACGAGGUACCCUCCUCCUCGUCUAUUAUGUCGGCCCAAUUUUUCUUUGCCACAUUUGUCAUUGCUUUUAUGUUAGAGUUGUCACUCGGUUCAAUGACAAAGUCGCGCGGCUGUUUUCCAAAAGCACGAGCUAAUUUAUGCCGCUUUUUCACAACUUCCAUUCCCGAUUUUCUUGAUGAAUCUCUGAUUUCUAGAGAAGAACUUCUAGUAAUACUACUGUCAACACCUCCUUUCUGUUCCGCCGCGCGGUGAGGUUUUUUUCCUUUCGUUGUGGAUUUGAGGACCCGUUUCAUAGUUUUUUUAAAAGCUGCUUGUUUUUGUCUGGCAUAUUAAUCCAACUCGGCUUCUUUUUCCGCCACCCAAUCCACCCAAAUCUCAUGAUUGAUAUUUAUUUAGAGGGGCGAAAAUUUUACCUAGGUUCAAAUCUUAGACGGUGCGAAAAUUUCACCAUGAUAAUUGAAUACACUAUUCGUUAUUACAAAUAACUUAUUCAUAGAUUUAUAUUGUAUUAUUAUUAUUCUCAUUUUUGAUGAGAGGUAACGUUCUAACUAGAUCUUAGGAUAACCCGAAAGUGAUGAAGUAAAUGAACUUUUGACAAGUCAACCAUACUUUGAUGGUUAAUUACGUUGCUUAUGAUUUUAUUAUAUUAAUGACGAGAUUCUGAGUGUUAAUUAAUUGGACCAAUAUUAUUGCUGUGUCCAGUAUGCCCAGUAUAUAUGAAACUAUAUGAAAACGGUAUUACAUGAAACUACAGUCUAUAACAGUGGCGUCUUUACAUAAAUAAAUCCAAGGUCGGAAUCAGAAUAAAAAGUGGAACCAAAUUAAUUAAUUAAUUUAAAGUUUGUGAUGAACAUGGAUUUAAUUUAUUCUUUUUAGCCUCUAUUGCGUUAGGUAGAUGAUCUUCAACUUUAAACCCAAGAAUGAAAUUAUAUAUGCAUGAAGCAUGAUAUGCAUGCAUGGACGAAAACGAUGACAAAAAAAGUAAAGCAAAUAGAAUAAUGAAUAAAACAAAUAAAACAAUAAAUAUUAACGUACGUGGAUUUAUAAAUAAAGUAAACAAUAAUAUGGUAUCAUGGUGUGUAUCGAGCAAGAUUGCUCCUGUUAGUAUCUUUACUGAUUCGAUCCUUGCAGCAUGAGCAAUGGUGAAUGAAGAGGAAGACGCGCGCUAGGUGCCUUCUUGAGAUACUCCACGUUGCCAGGGAGAACUUUCUUUUUUGCGUUAAUGAUCAUGUGUAUAGAGAGGCCAAUAUGGCGGCACAUAGAUUAGCUCAAUUCUCG